CUCCUCCUGUCCCCUCUGGGGGUUAGCUCCUUCCUGGUCGGGGGCCUCUUUCUGCUGCUUACUGCACUCCCUGCUGCCACACGCUCGCUCUGCCUCAAACUCCGGGUGCUCCUUCUUCAUGACUUGACCCUCCAGCCAGUUACCUGACUCCAAGUGGGCCAUGGCUGUCACCCCUUCCCUGACGUGGCUGGGACCAUGGAUAUCAGAAGGAUGGGAAUCCGUGAUCUUCAGCACCUUCGUAUGGAUCUGACCUAAAGAAAUAACUCCUCAGCUAACAGAGUAAAACCUCCACCAGUGUGUUCCAAGCCGCUUUGAUGGGC